rnacentral:rRNA from 1 species
GAUGAACGCUGGCGGCGUGCCUAAUACAUGCAAGUAGAACGCUGAAGGAGGAGCUUACUCUUCUGGAUGAGUUGCGAACGGGUGAGUAACGCGUAGGUAACCUGCCUGGUAGCGGGGGAUAACUAUUGGAAACGAUAGCUAAUACCGCAUGACAACAGUUAUUGCAUGAUAACUGUUUAAAAUGGGCAACUGCUCCACUACCAGAUGGACCUGCGUUGUAUUAGCUAGGUGGUGAGGUAACGGCUCACCAAGGCGACGGUACAUAGCCGGGCCGAGGGGGUGGACCGCCACCCCUGGAAUGGGGAACGGGCCAGGCCCCUUCGGGGGGCAGCAGGAGGGGAACUUCGGAAAUUGACGGAAGUCUGACCGCGCAACGCCCCGGGAGUGAAGAAGGUUUUCGGAUCGGAAAGCUCUGUUGUAAGAGAAGGACGAGUGGGAGAGUGGAAAGUUCACGCUGUGACGGUAUCUUACCAGAAAGGGGCGGCUAACUACGUG